GGCGGAGGAAGCCGCGCCUCGCCGGACGGCUGAGGGCGGGCGACGGGCGGCGCCGGCUGACGGGCCGCAACGCGAGGGGAGGUCCGGCGGCCCGGGGCGCCCUGCGACUGCCCGAGGCCGGAGGCCCGGAGGACCCGCCGCCGCCUUUGUGUCGCCGGCCCCCGCCCCGCUGGACUGGCCCGGGCCGGGGCGGUUGGGCCGGCGCUGAAGGGGCUUGGCCGCCCGGGUCCACCCGUUCCCGGAUCCGCCUCGCCGGCCCCCGCGCCCGCCCAACCCCUGCCCAGCCCCUCGGCUCCGCGAGUUUGGGUGAGAAGUGCGGCGGCUUUUCCCAGGGAUGGAGUUUAGAGGACGCUAAUCCUAUGUGUGAGCGGCGGACCCCGCCCGGACUUCCCGGAGGCGCCCGGUUAGUGAGGCGACGGCGCCCACCCGCGUUCGCGGGCUCCCGGCCGCCACUCCCCGGAGCCGCCGGCCCGCCCCAGCCCCGCGCGUCGCCCGGGAGGGCGGGCUGCACUCCCUCCACGUACCUGGCUGGCAGAGCGUCUCCAGGGACAAAAGGUGCCCUGGGAUCAAAGCCGAGCCCCCGCCCCCGCGGGGAUGCUGCCCUCCGGAAGGAGGGGCGCUGCCCCCAAGGGCCCCUAACAGUGUCAUAGGCCUGAUGGAGCAGCGGAACCUGCCUGAGGGUAAAGCUGAAGUUCCUCAGAAACCAGACGGCCUUACAGCCUCUUCACUGCUCUUUGAGAUGGAAGAGAAGAAAUGCAGAUGAGUGCUUUCUGCUACAAAUCUCAUCUCUCCAAGCUGAAGUUGCCAAGGAACAUGCCAUCACUGUAACUGCUAAAAACACAACGUAUAAUGAAAUGCAUCUUCUACAAAUGAAUCUGUGAAUACAGAAUAGCCUACAGAGGUUGACAGUUUGAUUCUGUUCUCUGCAAGGCAUUAGAAUUUCACUAUGGGGGCCACUAGGACUGCUCUAUUAAUUAAUUAUGUGUAUUCUAUUGUUUUUUGUUGGUUUUUUUUUUCAGAUGGAGUCUCACUUUGUCGCCCAGGCUGGAGUGCAGUGGCUCUAUCUCAGCUCACUGCAACCUCCCAGGUUCAGGCAAUUCUCCAGCUUCAGCAUCCCGAAUAGCUGAGACUGUAGGCGC
rnacentral:lncRNA from 10 species